rnacentral:siRNA from 1 species
UCUCGGGACUCGAAUGACGAAU